rnacentral:rRNA from 1 species
UACAGAGGUCUCAAGCGUUGUUCGGAUUCAUUGGGCGUAAAGGGUGUGUAGGUGGCGCGCUAAGUCGGGUGUGAAAUUUCGGAGCUUAACUCCGAAACUGCAUUCGAUACUGCGGUGCUUGAGGACUGGAGAGGAGACUGGAAUUCAUGGUGUAGCAGUGAAAUGCGUAGAGAUCAUGAGGAAGACCAGGGGCGAAGGCGGGUCUCGGGACAGUUCCUGACACUGAGGCACGAAGGCCAGGGAGCAAACGGG